UGGCCAGUUUUAGGGCGCACGGUGGAUGCCUUGGCACCAGGAACCGAUGAAGGACGUGGGAAGGCCACGAUAAGCCCCGGGGAGUCGUCAACCAGGCUUUGAUCCGGGGGUGUCCGAAUGGGGAAACCCGGCAGUCGUCAUGGGGCUGUCACCCUUGCCUGAACACAUAGGGCAAGUGGAGGGAACGCGGGGAAGUGAAACAUCUCAGUACCCGCAGGAAGAGAAAACAACCGUGAUUCCCGGGAGUAGUGGCGAAGCGAAACCGGGAUGAGGCCAAACCGUAUGCGUGUGAGACCCGGCAGGGGGUUGCGUAUACGGGGUUGUGGGAUCUCUCUUGAUCAGUCUGCCCGGCUGGUCGACGAGUCAGAAACCGUUGAAUGUAGGCGAAGGACAAUGCGAAAGGUCCGGCGUAGAGGGUAAGACCCCGUAGUCGAAACAUAGCGGCUCGUUUGAGAGACACCCAAGUAGCACGGGGCCGAGAAAAUCCCGUGUGAAUCCUGGCGGGACCACCCGCUAAGCCUAAAUAUUCCCUGGUGACCGAUAGCGGAUAGUACCGGUGAGGGAAUGGUGAAAGUACCGCGGGAGCGGAGUGAAAUAGUACUGAAACCGUGUGCCUACAAGCCGUGGGAGCGUCGCGCUGUGUGUGCUUGCCCAUACAAGUCGUGACUGCGUGCCUUUUGAAGAAUGAGCCUGCGAGUUUGCGGUGUGUUGCGAGGUUAACCCGAGUGGGGAAGCCGUAGCGAAAGCCGGAGUCCCGAAUAGGGCGGUAUAGUUAGCGGCCUCAGACCCGGAAGCGGAGUGAAUCUAGCCAUGGGCAGGGUUGAAGCGGAAGGUAAGACCUUCGUGGAGGACCGAACCCACCAGGGUUGAAAACCCUGGGGGAUGACUGUGGUUAGGGGUGAAAAGGCCAAUCACUCCGUGAUAGCUGGUUCUCCCCGAAGGAUGCAUUUAGGUGCAGCGUCGUGUGUGUUCUUGCCGGAGGUUUAGACCACGUGGGAUAGGCGAUGGGCCCUAUCCGGGUUACCUGAACCUUAGCCCAAACUCGCGAAUGCCCGGUAAGUGAGAGCGCGGCAGUGAGAACUGUGGGGGAUAAGCUCCCAUGGUCGAGAGGGAAACAGCCCAGAGCAUCGGACUAAGGCCCCCUAAGCCGUACGCUCAGUUGGGAAAUGGAUUGUGGAAGUCCGCUAGAGUACAACCAGGAGGUUGGUCUUAGAAGCAGCCACCCUUGAAAGGUGGCGUAAUAGCUCACUGGUCUAGUGAUUCCCGCCGACAAUGUAGCGGGGCUCAAGCGUACCGCCGAAGUCCGUGUCAUUCCAGCAACAUACUCCCAACGGAAGGCUGGGAUGGGUAGGGAGCGUCGUGUGCGGGGUGAAGCAGCCGCGGAAGCGAGUUGUGGACGGUUCACGAGUGAGAAAUGCAGGCAUGAGUAGCGAUUACACACGUGAGAAACGUGUGCGCCGAUUGACCUAAGGGGUUCCUGGUCAAGCUGAUCUGCCCAGGGUAAGUCCGGGACCUAAGGCGAGGCCGACAGCGUAGUCGAUGAUAACCGGUUGAUAUUCCGGUACCCGCUGUGAAGCGUCAAACAUUGAAUCAGGCGAUGCUAGCCCGUGAAGCCGUUUCCGGACCCCUUCGGGGAAUGGAAGUGGUGGGAGCCGGCGGACCAGACUUGUAGUAGGUGAGUGGAUGGGGUGACGCAGGAAGGUAGUCCCAUCCCGGGCGGUGGUUGUCCCGGGGUAAGGGUGUAGCCCGAGUGGUAGGUAAAUCCGCCACUCAUGCAGGGUGAGACCUGAUGCCGAGCCGAUUGUGGUGAAGUGGAUGAUCCUAUGCUGUCGAGAAAAGCCCUCUAGCGAGUUUUAUGGCGGCCCGUACCCUAAAACCGACUCAGGGUGGUCAGGUAGAGAAUACCGAGGCGUUCGGGUGAACUAUGGUUAAGGAAACUCGGCAAAUGCCCCCGUAACUUCGGGAGAAGGGGGGCCAUGUCCGGUGAUGAGCUUCGCGCUCUGAGCUGGGGGUGGCCGCAGAGACCAGCGAGAAGCGACUGUUUACUAAAAACACAGGUCCGUGCGAAGCCGUAAGGCGAUGUAUACGGACUGACGCCUGCCCGGUGCUGGAACGUUAAGGGGACCGGUUAGUCACUCUUCGGGGUGGCGAAGCUGAGAACUUAAGCGCCAGUAAACGGCGGUGGUAACUAUAACCAUCCUAAGGUAGCGAAAUUCCUUGUCGGGUAAGUUCCGACCUGCACGAAUGGCGUAACGACUUCUCGACUGUCUCAACCAUAGGCCCGGUGAAAUUGCACUACGAGUAAAGAUGCUCGUUUCGCGCAGCAGGACGGAAAGACCCCGGGACCUUUACUCGUAGUGCAAUUUCACCGGGCCUAUGGUGAGACAGUCGAGAAGUCGUUACGCCAUUCGUGCAGGUCGGAACUUACCCGACAAGGAAUUCGCUACCUUAGGAUGGUUAUAGUUACCACCGCCGUUACUGGCGCUUAAGUUCUCAGCUUUCGCCACCCCGAAGAGUGGACUAACCGGUCCCCUUAACGUUUCCAGCACCGGGCAGGCGUCAGUCCGUAUACAUCGCCUUACGGCUUCGCACGGACCUGUGUUUUUUAGUAAACAGUCGCUUCUCGCUGGUCUCUGCGGCCACCCCCAGCUCAGAGCGCGAAGCUCAUCACCGGACAUGGCCCCCCUUCCUCCCGAAGGGGAUUCCGAGUCCAUAUCGACGGGAUGGUUUGGCACCUCGAUGUCGGCUCGUCGCAUCCUGGGGCUGGAGUCGGUCCCAAGGGUUGGGCUGUUCGCCCAUUAAAGCGGUACGCGAGCUGGGUUUAGAACGUCGUGAGACAGUUUCGGUCCCUAUCCGCUGCGCGCGCAGGAACAUUGAGAAGGGCUGUCCCUAGUACGAGAGGACCGGGACGGACGAACCUCUGGUGUGCCAGUUUGUUCUGCCAAGGGCAUGGCUGGUUGGCUACGUUCGGGAGGGAUAACCGCUGAAAGCAUCUAAGCG
rnacentral:rRNA from 1 species